rnacentral:rRNA from 1 species
CGUAAGCUGUCGCUAAAGGGAUGGACCUGCGAUGCAUUAGCUAGUUGGUAAGGGUAACGGGCUUACCAAGGCGAUGAUGCAUAGCCCGAGUUGAGAGACUGAUCGGGCCACAUUGGGACUGAGACACGGGCCCAAACUCCUACGGGAGGCAGCGGUAGGGAAUCUUCCACAAUGGACGAAAGUCUGAUGGAGCAAACGCCGCGUGAGUGAAGAAGGUUUUCGGAUCGUAAAGACUCUGUUGUUGGUGAAGAAGGAUAGAGGUAGUAACUGGCCCUUUAUUUGACGGUAAUCAACCAGAAAGUCACGGGCUAACUACGUGCCAGCAGCCGCGGUAAAU